GGCGGAGGCGGCGACGGCGGCGGUUUGCGGAGGCGCAUGAAAGCGAAAUCGUGUUCUUGAUGCUCGUGCUGCUGGCGCUUGCGCUGCCCGGCAUCUGCGGAAACUCUGCGGCCGGAAAGAAUUCAAGAGCAGACUCAUGGUAGAAAGUGAGAACUAAUUUAACAGAACAAAGAAGAAAUACACGUUCCACAGGGAGAGUACAGCCUAGCUCCAGAGACUGAGCGGGGACCACACCAAGUGUAACACAAAAGGAAGAACCCAGAGGAGGGGGCCUGAGACUUUAGGGAGUGACUGGAAAGCCAGAGGUGGGUCAUGAAACCCAAACCUGGGGAAACUGAACACGUCCUGUAUCAACAUCAUCGAAUGGUGACUAUGAAUGUAAAAGAGAAGUCCCAGGACAAAAGCCAGGUGAAAGAAGAUGAGAGCAGCUGCAAACCAGCCCAGAUUUUUCUCAGUCACUGACUUCCUACUUUAUUAUACCACCUGUUCAGCAUUUGCAGAGAAUUAUCUGUGCUUAUGGAUGUUAAUCCCUGAAUGAGAUAUAUUAUGUGCUAAAAUAUAAGGAAAACAAUCACCU